rnacentral:rRNA from 1 species
AAUAAGACUCUCGGCAACGGAUAUCUCGGCUCUCGCAUCGAUGAAGAACGUAGCGAAAUGCGAUACGUGGUGUGAAUUGCAGAAUCCCGCGAACCAUCGAGUCUUUGAACGCAAGUUGCGCCCGAGGGACCUACCCGAGGGCACGCCUGCCUCAUGGGCGUUAGAA